AGAGAAUAGAUACCCAGGUAGUCCCAGCCGUAAACGAUGCUCGCUAGGUGUCAGGCAUGGCGCGACCGUGUCUGGUGCCGCAGGGAAGCCGUGAAGCGAGCCACCUGGGAAGUACGGCCGCAAGGCUGAAACUUAAAGGAAUUGGCGGGGAGCACAACAACGGGUGGAGCCUGCGGUUUAAUUGGACUCAACGCCGGACAACUCACCGGGGGCGACAGCAAUAUGUAGGCCAAGCUGAAGACUUUGCCUGAAUCGCUGAGAGGAGGUGCAUGGCCGUCGCCAGUUCGUACUGUGAAGCAUCCUGUUAAGUCAGGCAACGAGCGAGACCCGUGCCCACUGUUACCAGCAUGUCCUUUGGGAUGAUGGGUACUCUGUGGGGACCGCCGGUGUCAAAUCGGAGGAAGGUGCGGGCCACGGUAGGUCAGUAUGCCCCGAAUCUCCCGGGCUACACGCGGGCUACAAUGAAUGGGACAAUGGGUCCCUUCCCUGAAAAGGGUUGGUAAUCUCACAAACCCAUCCUUAGUUCGGAUUGAGGGCU
rnacentral:rRNA from 1 species